AAUUGGGCUUGUAGAAAAAAAGCUGCCAGUUCAAACUGUUAGCACUUGAUAAGGACUUAAUCUCCAAAAUUAAAUCAACAAAACUAGCUGAAGGUUGAGAUCAGGAACAAUCCAAAAACUCAGUAAACCUAUUACCAUAUACAUCCAAUUCUCUGUAAAGGAAUUUUAGUGAAUGAAUUUAAAAGGUCACUUUUUGACUAAAUGCAGAAUAAACAUUCCACUGAAGAAUCUCCUUUAACUUGCUUGUAAAUUAGCUAUGCUGAAUAAGAAAGUUGAUUAACCUUGGAUACCCCUUAAUGGAGAAUAAAUAGUAGUUGCAGGUAUUCCCACAACCAUUCAAGUUUCAACAUCUUUCAAUAUUAGCCAUGAACAAGCAGAAUUUUCUUUGCCAUAAAACUUGGAAUCUAAGAUCUUAGGUUACUAUGCCAAUCAUAAAUUAAUGAUUCAAACAAAUGGGGCAAUAUAGUAUAGUGAAGUAACAAUCAGGUUUAAAGGGAAAGAUGUUUAAAUAACAAGAUGUUCUAUCUAAGAAUAAAUGGACAUUGGAACUGUAUCAAAUUUAUGUGGGUUAUAUAACCAAUUAAAAACAGCUAAAUGAAAAAACCUUGUUUUUGUAGCAUACAUGAAUCACAGAGAGC
rnacentral:misc_RNA from 1 species